GUGCCAGCCGCCGCGGUAAUACGUAGGGGCCAAGCGUUGUCCGGAGUUACUGGGCGUAAAGCGUGCGCAGGCGGCUCGUUGCGCCCGACGUGAAAGCCCCCGGCUCAACCGGGGAGGGUCGUCGGGGACGGGCGAGCUUGAGGGUGUCAGGGGCUGGUGGGACUCCCGGUGUAGUGGUGAAAUGCGGAGGGAUCGGGAAGAACACCCGUGGCGAAGGCGGCCAGCUGGGACACACCUGACGCUGAGGCACGAAGGCGUGGGGAGCGAACGGGAUUAGAUACCCCGGUAGUCCACGCAGUAAACGAUGCAGACUAGGCGUGGGGGGACUUGACCCCCUCCGUGCCGGAGCCAACGCGGGAAGUCUGCCGCCUGGGGAGUACGGCCGCUAGGCUAAAACUUAAAGGAAUUGGCGG
rnacentral:rRNA from 1 species